rnacentral:rRNA from 1 species
AACGAACGCUGGCGGCAGGCUUAACACAUGCAAGUCGAACGCCCCGCAAGGGGAGUGGCAGACGGGUGAGUAACGCGUGGGAACCUACCCAAAGGUACGGAACAACCAAGGGAAACUUUGGCUAAUACCGUAUACGCCCCAAGGGGGAAAGAUUUAUCGCCUUUGGACGGGCCCGCGUUGGAUUAGCUUGUUGGUGGGGUAACGGCCUACCAAGGCGACGAUCCAUAGCUGGUCUGAGAGGAUGAUCAGCCACACUGGGACUGAGACACGGCCCAGACUCCUACGGGAGGCAGCAGUGGGGAAUCUUGGACAAUGGGCGAAAGCCUGAUCCAGCCAUGCCGCGUGAGUGAAGAAGGCCUUAGGGUUGUAAAGCUCUUUCGGCGGGGACGAUAAUGACGGUACCCGCAGAAGAAGCCCCGGCUAACUCCGUGCCAGCCGCCGCAGUAAUAC